AAGUCGUAACAAGGUUUCCGUAGGUGAACCUGCGGAAGGAUCAUUAACACAAUUUUACUGUGAUAAAAUCCAUUGAGUUAUCGAACACUCUUCGUGACUCAAUGGUAUCCACCCCAUUAUUGACGAACUUUUGUCUAGAUGUUUAAAAAAAAACAUAGAGCUCGUCUUUGUGUUUUUCAAAACAUUCUAAACCUUUGUCUCUACCCCAUCAAACUUUUUAACCCCUUUUACAACCUGUCUUAGACUGAAAUGAAAUAUUUUUCUUAUCAAAAAAAUGAUAAAAAAACAACUUUUAACAACGGAUAUCUUGGUUCUC
rnacentral:misc_RNA from 1 species